ensembl:lncRNA
UGCUUACAAUGAUGUGCUGGUUAAAAAAUGAGCUGAUCCGAUUUUACUGGCCUUAUUUGACUUUAUUUCUCUGUUUUGGUCUCCUCAUUUAUCCUUUUCCUUACAGAUCAAAUAGAUAUUAAAUGAAGAGCUCAAAAUUAUUUUAAAAAACAAUGUUGAAUCCAAAUUGCAGAUAUCUAUUCAGUAAAUCAUGCUAAGUAGAUAAGAUUCUUAUUUCUUCUUAUUUACCUAAAAAAAACCCCAAAAGCUGGUUGUGUUUUGGCUUCAGAAAGCGAGAUCUUGUAGUUGAGACAGGAUAGAAAUAGCCUUUAAAAGCUAAAUGAAAUGAAUAGUCUUGCAAAGGGAAAAAAAGAGGAAUUUUUCAUGAGUCCCUGGAAACCAGCAAAAAAGCAUCAAAACUGUUGUUUUCAGUAAUAAUUGUGAUUACUUGGUUAAAAUACCCCGUACGAGAAGCUUUCGAUGUUUUUUGUGCCUCUACAAGGAAAAUUAAAACAGAACACACAGCAUUGGGGCCAAUUUGUUUCCAAGGAAGUCAAUUAUUAAUACUGUAUUUAGUAUUUAAUGAACUAAGCCGAUGUAUGUGAAACGCUGCAGAGAUCUCCUUACCAGCGGAGAACAGGUGUUGAUAGAAGCUUUGCCCGUAUGUUUACCAGCUGAUUAGUACCCAUUAAAAUGAUAAUAAUCUAAUAAAAAUUACUUUAUGUCUAGUGAAAGUUGAAAGUCCCCUGUGUAUUGGAGAAUGAUUUUUUUUCUAUUGCAUGGCAGUGAUAGGAUUGAAGUGACAAGAAUCCACCCCCAAAGCAGCGUGAAUGUUCUGAAUUUCUAUGCCUUAGACUUUUCACUUCAAGUGUCCCUUUCUCCAAAGGUUGACUCUGGCAGUCAGGACACUUCACUGUUUUUCAUGGCUUCAAGGGAAGGACAGUUACCAACCCACCAAAAUCCUCUGGCAAUAGGAAAAGGAAUCAGAUCCUUAGUAAACGACACUACCUUGUCCAUCUUAGGAGACCAGAGGAGAAACUAUGGGUGUCCUGAAGGACUGUUCUGGGCUUUGGUUGUCCCAGACAGCCCCGAGCAGUUGCUAAGGAAACUCUGAGCCAUCUGUGAGCUGGCAGUUUCCUGGGAAACCCUUGAUUUCAGGCUAGCCGUAGUCAAAAUUGUUAUGAAUGUGAGGUCACAUCAUCCCCAGCCUCACACUUCUGACCCCUUCUCUUCAUGACGUGCUCCACUCAUUCUGUCUCAGCUGAGCCUUGCACACUUUACUCUUGCUCUUCUACCAAAAGCUGAACUCAGGAAAUUUUCAGGAAUUUGGUUAUACGGUAGGGUAGAGACUGAAAACUAAGGGUUAUUUGCGUUGUAACAGCAUCAAAUUCCUCCAACUGAUUAAGGGUCUCCUGGAGGAAAUUGGGGCAUUUGGCCAAGUACAGGUGACACAUUCGCCUGCCUCAUUUACCUGUAGCUUCCAGGACCCGGAUUACUACACAAUGGAGUGUAUGUCGUUAUUCCUUUUGACUUCUUCCUAAAAGUAUUGAUGGAAACAUAGUAGAAAGAAUGAAUUUUGGAGGUAGAAAUGUAUUUUUUUACUGAUUUAUUUUAAUAGUGAUGGGGACCCUAUUGAAAUUUGCAGUAUAGAAAGAAGUCAUAGGAGAAAAACCAGAUGAUUUCUGGAAAUAAGGAUUUUGUAGAAACUGUGAAUAAGAAAUAAGCAUCUUAAUACUAAUGCCAAAGUCUGUCCUUUGUUUAUGUGUUCUAUAAUGUUGAGACUGUUCAGCAUUCUAAAUUGCUUUAUACUUCAGAUUAACGUGAGGCCAGAAUGAUUUAAGGACUAUUUUGGUCUUAAAAAUAGAAAUCUCCACAUUUAAAACAGAAACACAACCUUUAAUUGAUUGGCAAAAAUAGGGUUCUUUUCAAAGGAAGACUUGGGCAGGCCCCAGAUGAAGGCAACGAAGAGCAGCCUGGUUCUGGAAAGGGAAGUCAGCAGAAUUGUUCUGUUGAUCUAUCCUCUGCUUUUCUGGGCUGCUACAGGAAACAGACUUCAAGGAAAAGGUCAUAGGUCACCUGGGGCUCUGGGGCUUAAGGCAACCAUGCAAAAAUCUAGACGGCUCAGAAUCUUUCUUUCUCACAAAGGACACAUUAUGAAUUGGUUCCUGUAUGUGUGUACAUUUGUUUCGUACCCAGUCACCAUGCUGGCAGAAAAGUAUUGCUGUUAUUUCUAUGAAGGAAACUUUGAAACUUCAUAGUUUUUCUUUGCCAUGACUGGUGACUUUUAAAAUUCAGUGAAAACCUCUUGAUCUAGGCAUUGGACUUGAAAAUUAGAGACUUAAUUGGGAACCAAAAAGAUAUAAGUCCCAAGACUGUAAGUUGGCCACUUUUGGAAAAAUACACUUUAGAAAGUGUGAUGAAUGAUUUUUUUGUGCUCAUAUUCCUUCAUCUUUAGCCCAGAAGAUACUGAGCUGGUACCGAAUUAACAGUUCUUAGAAUGAACUUCCGCUUGAUCUCAGGAUAGCAGCCUAAGCAGAAGGAGGAGGAAAUCUGGGGCAAAUGAUUACAAUAGCAGGAACUGUAAGAUAAAAUUUGAUGCUAUCUUUUCAGCACUCAACCAAUUCAGAGGUGAUGGAAUAGGGACCCAGGGUUUUCCAGAAACCAAGAGUAAUUCUAAAAGGCAAGACCUUAAGGGACAUCCUCUUCUUUGGCCGUCAAAGCAACCGGAGCUGUCACUGGGAUUAGCAGACAGAGGAUCAUGAUGCAGGGGUUCUCUUUAGCUAUGAAACGAGGAAGAAGAAAAUCUUCUCUUAACAAUAAUAUACACGUGCCAUGAGAGAGAUGAAGCAGAAGAUUAAGCAAGAAACCCAGCUAUUUUAUUGCCCUAAGGCAUUACUCAUUUUCCUGACACAUUAUGUUUUUAAUUAAAAUUGCAUGUGAGUUAAUUAAAAUAUUCACUCAGGCCCUUUUUUCCCUCUUCCUGCUUGGGUUCCUUGCUACUCUUUUAGCUUUUUGGUAAAACUCAGUUUCAUUUUAACUCAGGUGCCUUUAUCAGCUGCAACUUUAAUAAAGAGUCUGUAUACUGAGGUAACUAAAAAAAUAAAAUCUAAUUUUAAAAAUUCACCCCUAAGUGACCAAGGUAAAGGGAUGUGGCCAGGAGUGAAAUCAUUAAGUCUUUUAUGUUCUUCCCUGCUUAUUUAAUCAAAAACAUGAAAUUAUCAUUGAUAGAAAGUGUAUUCAGAAGAAGUACUGUGAUUUUUUCCUAUGCCAGGCGUGUUUUUCUUGUUAUAGACACGUUUAUCCAUCUACAGUCCUUUGUUCAGGAAAGGAUCAUAGCUUAUGGCACCUACGGUUGUGUAACCUCAGCUUUCCCUGAUUACAGCUGAUUAUUAGCCUUUAGUGGACAUCUAUCCAGUUCAACCUAUCAAUGGAUCAGUAACCCUGAGAAACAAAAUCCCUCUUGUGUAGACACUCAGAGACCUUGGUUACUGAUGAGUCCAUAUUGGAUCUGUGAGGACAAAUAGGCCAGUACUGGAGGCCAUAUUGGGUCGCUUGUAAACAAAGGAAGAAUAGACAGGAAGAAGCAGAGAUAGUUGCAGCCACGUGGCUAUGAGACAGACAAGAGAGAACCUUCAGUUUCAGUGUCUUCCCCAUCUACUUCCCUUGAGGCCUGGCUGAGUCCUUACUGUAUCCCUGAGAUGGCUUUUUUUUUUUUUUGCAAAAACCCCUUUUUAAGAGUUAGCUAAAAUGAAUUCUGGAUCCUUGUAAACAAUGAGCUCUAACUAAAACAUCUGUGCUUCAAAACUCCAUAUAUUCCUAAGCAGCCCUGACAGAGAUAAUAUUAAAAAGCAAAACCAUAAAAUGGGUAGUAAGAAACCAGUUAUUGCAGUUCAAGAAUAUAUAGGCUGAAGCCGCCUGGUCGAAGUGAAGUCCAGGAGAGAGAAGAGUGUUUUUUCCAACUGUAGUAGAACCCCCUUCGUGAAAAGUUUGGGAAAAAUCUGUUUCUGUUCUUUUUUCAUUUUUUUUCCAUCUCCAAUGAUGUUUUAGUACCUUAAAAUGUUAAUGAGUCUGAGAAACUGGUACCCUGGGCAGCUACUUGCGACCCACUUGUUAAUUUAUCUCUGCUACCUAGAUAAGGAUCUCAAUGUCUUUCUCCCUAGAUUGGAUUUCUAAAGUACCAGAAUUAGCCCAGAUGGGUGUGGUGCUCGCCUAAGUCUGACGUUGCAAUCCAUUAAUCUUCUGAACUCUUAAACCUCCUUCACAGCUUAAAUUUCAUGGUCUAUCAUUAUAAUUCCAUCUCAACUCUUUAUGGCAAAACCAUGUUUGAGGGUUAAAUCCGUAUCUCCACCAACUUCUUGCCUACAUUUGGACAGUAUGUAAAUGGAGGAAAAUUUACUGCUAUUCUAACUGACCUCCAGAAAGCAAAAUUAUCAGCUGAGAGUGAGUAUGGUAAAGAUAGAAAUACAUAUUGGAGAUUUGGGGCAUGACACUCACCUAUCAUAUUUACUUUCGUACCUACAUUGUACCUUUCAUAUGCCUGCAUAAGUUGUUUAUAUGGAUGAACUGGCAAUGCUCCUACCUAUGGUCAACCUCUCCACAUGUGCAGUAAGUAGAUCUCAUUCUCUCUACAUGAGGAUAUUGCUUCAAAUCUCCCUUCUCUCUUACAUUAUCAAUUUGCCCUUUCUUCUGGGGCUACCUCAUCAGCAUAACAUCUUACUGUUAUUUCUCCCAUCUUCAAAUUCUUUCUUGAUUGUUCUUUUCCCUUCAGCUGUCAUCCCUUCAUUCUCUUUCCCUUAAUUGAUGAACUCCUUGAUGAAAUUUACUGAACUAGUGCUUCCUGUUCCUCUGCCCUCAUUCCCUCUUGAAUCAACUCCAUUCGGACUUUGGCCCCUACCCAUUCCAUCAAAACUCUUGUUAUCAAGCCUCGAUUGGCCGUUGCAUUUCUAAACACAAUGCUCAGUUUGUAGUCCUUAGCAGAGUUGAGCACCUCUUCCUCUUUCAUCAUCUGGCUUCCAGGACGUCAUACUCUCUUGGUUUUACCAUUUCACUAGAUCCUCCUUCUCAGUCUCCUUUGCUGAAUAUUAUUCUCCUCUUAAUGUUAUUGUUCUUCAGGACUUAGUUCUUCUUAUCUCUAUCUACAGUAGACUCACCCCUGGUGAUAUCACUGAAUCUCAUGGUUUUAAGUAUAAUUUCUAUACAAAUGACUUUCAGAUUUAUAUCUCUUGUUCAGACAUUUCUCCUGAAAUUCAGACCUCUACUUUCACUUGCCUACUUGACAUCUUCAUUUGAAUAUCUGUUAAGAAUCUAAUACUUCAGUCUAAAACUCAACUCCUGAUAUUCUACCAACUAAUUGCUUUUAUCCAUAGCCUUCUCUGUCUCACUGGAGGGCAGCUCUAUUCUUCCAGUUUCUCAGUCCAAAACAUUUGAGUUCUCUAAGAUUCCUCUUUAUCUUUCUUUCCUGCUUAUAAUAAUUAUUUUAUAAGAUGCUAUGUCCUUUACCUUGAAAAUAUUUGUCCAGAAUCUGACCACUUCUUGCUAUCUCCACUGCCACCACCACCAUGUCUAUCGAUCAUGAUUAUUGCACUAGCCUUAUAACUGGUUUCCCUGAUUCUCUGUUUGUGCCUCUACUGUCCAUUUACAACAGAGCAGCAAGAGUGCUUCUUUUAAAAUGUAAGUGAAAUUGUAUCAUUCAUCUGCUAAAAAUCCUGCGAUGGCUCCCUAUUUUACUCAGAGGAGAAGCCAAAGUCCUCACAAUGGGUAACAGGGCCUUGCAUAUCUCACUCACUUCUAGACACAAUGACCACUUUUCUGAUCCUUCAAAACUCCAAGAACACUCUUCAGUUCCUUCAGCUUUCCUCUUAGAUAUGCACAUGCUAAUCUCCUAACCUCAUUUAAGUCAUUGUUCAGAAGUCACAUUUUUAGUGAGUCUACCCUGACCGCCUAUUUAAAAUUGCAGUCUCCCAUAUCCUGAUGCCUCCUAAUCUGCUCUUUUGUUUUCUAUAGAGCUUAUCAUCUUCUAACAUACUAUAUGAUUUACCUUUUUAAUAUUUGUUUAUUCUGUUAUUAUUCUACUGAUCAUCUCUUACAUAUGAAAAUGUAAUCUCCCUCUAAAAUUAGGGGUUUGUAUGUUUUUUUGCAUUAAUAUUUUUGAUCAUCUAGAACAGUAUGCCUGGCAUAUAGUAGGUACACUUUCAACAAAGCUUGAAAACCAGCCUUAAAAGUAUCAACCUAAUUUGUAAGUAAACUCAUGCCCUGGCAGACAAAUCUUCAUACUCUUUAAAGGAACACAACAGAAUCCAGACACAAAAUCCAGACAACAAAAUGCAAACACUGGAUAUCAUAGCAUUUAUAAUACCUAACAUCUAAUUUUUUAAAACUACUGUACUUACAAAGAAGUAGGAAAAUAUGACCCACAACCAUGAAAAAAGUCAGCUAGUUCAAGGCAAAUGUGUAAAAGAGAAAAAUGGCUUUGGUGCUUUCUUCCUGUACAUUCAGUGAAAUCUCACAUCUCAAAGCUUUCUAAGCUUGCAACAUAGCCCCCAGCUCACAGUGCUCAGAGCUUCACACAGCAGUGCUCUCUCUUCUUUCUCUUCCUCUAUAUGCAACUUAACUCAUUUGAUCUGUCUUUAUAGUAUUCUUUUUUACUUAGUUUCUCUCUCCUGUAUAUAUCAAGUUUCAACUGGCUAAUCUUUUAAUCUAAUAUAUUAUAACGAGGAAAGGCUAAAGCUACAAAAACUUCCCCAUGUCUAUACUACGUGGGGCCUCUCUUUACCACACCAUGGUAUUGUCAUCUUACUCUAAAUUGUAGAAACUUCACUUGAAUAGAGGAAGAGUAAUUGAUUAGAAAAGUUCACUUUGAAGGGAAUCUCAUGGAACCACCGAUGGAUAGGGUGGAUGCCUACUUUGAAUUUCAUUUCUGGGGGCCAAACCAAUCAUUAUUGUUGUUACUGGGGCACGAGAUCAGGGAUGGACAGGCUGUGAUGGUGAUGGGAAGCAAAAUCACCAAGUAUUGGCCAGAUUUUCUUAAUUUUCUCCUGCCUUAGAUUGGGAUUGCGGUGCUUGAGACUGAUGUGGGGUGCACCCAGCAAGAAGAUACCAAGUAACCCCAGAUGGAGGAUGAAGUGAGUAAUAGAUUCAAGGAGUUAGAGCCUGACAGGAAAACAUCAGUAUUUCUGAACAAAAAGAGUGGAAAAGUCUUCGGGCAGUUCUCCACCUGCGCUCCCA